UACGAGGGGGGCAAGCGUUGUUCGGAAUUAUUGGGCGUAAAGGGUGCGUAGGCGGCUUUGUAAGUUAGAGGUGAAAGCCCAGGGCUUAACCCUGGAAUUGCCUUUAAGACUGCAUCGCUCGAAUUGUGGAGAGGUGAGUGGAAUUCCGAGUGUAGAGGUGAAAUUCGUAGAUAUUCGGAAGAACACCAGUGGCGAAGGCGACUCACUGGACACAUAUUGACGCUGAGGUGCGAAAGCGUGGGGAGCAAACAGG
rnacentral:rRNA from 1 species